rnacentral:rRNA from 1 species
UACGGGGGGGGCAAGCGUUGUUCGGAAUUACUGGGCGUAAAGGGCUCGUAGGCGGCCAACUAAGUCAGACGUGAAAUCCCUCGGCUUAACCGGGGAACUGCGUCUGAUACUGGAUGGCUUGAGGUUGGGGAGAGGGAUGCGGAAUUCCAGGUGUAGCGGUGAAAUGCGUAGAUAUCGAGAAGAACACCGGUGGCGAAGGCGGCCAACUGGACGGUGACUGACACUGAGACGCGAAAGCGUGGGGAGCAAACAGG